AAACGAUAAUACCAAACCAUCCGCGAGGAUGGGACGGAAAGCCUACAGGGUCUCAAGAAGACAGCCGGGUCGCCGAA
rfam:Geobacter uraniireducens Rf4, complete genome.